AUACGUAGGUGACAAGCGUUAUCCGGAUUUACUGGGCGUAAAGGGCGUGUAGGCGGUCUUGCAAGUCAGAAGUGAAAUUCCUGAGCUCAACUCGGGCGCUGCUUCUGAAACUGCAGGACUUGAGUGCUGGAGGGGAUAGCGGAAUUCCUAGUGGAGCGGUAAAAUGCGCAGAUAUUAGGAAGAACACCGGUGGCGAAGGCGGCUAUCUGGACAGUAACGGACGCUGAGGCGCGAAAGCGUGGGGAACAAACAGGAUUAGAUGCCCUGGUAGUCCACGCCGUAAACGAUGAAUACUAGGUGUAGGGGGUAUCGACUCCCUCUGUGCCGCAGUUAACACAAUAAGUAUUCCGCCUGGGGAGUACGGCCGCAAGGUUGAAACUCAAAUGAAUUGACGGGG
rnacentral:rRNA from 1 species